GUCCACGCCGUAAACGAUGAGUGCUAGUUGUUGGGGGGUUUACCUCUCAGUGACGCAGCUAACGCGUUAAGCACUCCGCCUGGGGAGUACGGUCGCAAGAUUAAAACUCAAAGGAAUUGACGGGGGCCCGCACAAGCGGUGGAGCAUGUGGUUUAAUUCGACGCAACGCGAAGAACCUUACCAACCCUUGACAUGGGUAUCGCGGAGACCAGAGAUGGUUUCCUUCAGUUCGGCUGGAUACCACACAGGUGCUGCAUGGCUGUCGU
rnacentral:rRNA from 1 species